UCAUAGGAGUUCGCUCCUGUAACUGAAUCACGAAGGUUAUUAUUGUGGGAUAAUUCUUUCGACGUAUUAAUGGCAUAUUGCUGGUGUAUGAAUAAGUUCAGAAGUGCAGGAAAUUCGUGGUGUGAAUCUGACGGGGAGAAUUUUCGGCGCGUUCUGUAAAUAAUUUGUAAACAUUAAAACUUUUCUGAAACAAAGUGAAACAAAACAAAGUAAAAUGGCGGAGAAGUUGGUGGAUAUUUUUCAGCGUCUGUUUUAAACCUAUUCUCGCUGAUACCCAGAAGACAGCCAUCUUUGGACCCAGCGCCGUCAGAACCGAAAAUCCUUCUUAGCUAAGGGAAAAUUUGCUCCUUCCUGUGGA